GGGUGGGUGGGUGGGGAGGAGGUUGGGGACAACCUGGGGACAACCUGGGGACAACCUGGGGACAACCUGGGGACAACCUGGAGGUCUCCAAGGGGCCACCUUGGGGGUCUCCAGGUGGUUUUGGGGGCUUUUUUUGGGGUCUCCAGGUGGUUUUUUGGGUUCUUUUGGGAUCUCCUGGUGGUUUUUGGAGGUUCCUCAAGGAACCUCCUCCACAGGGAUCUCCAGGUGGGUUUUUUUGUAUCUCCAGGUGGUUUUUUGAAGGUUCCUUGAGGAACCUCCUCCACAGGAAGAUCUCAAAGUGAUUUUUUGGUAUCUCCAGGUGUUUUUUUUGGUAUCUCCAGGUGGUUUUUUGGGAUCUCCAGGUGGUUUUUUUGGAUUCUUUGGUGGUUUUUUGGGUUCUUUGGGAUCUCCAGGUGGUUUUUUUUGGUUUUUUGGUAUCUCCAGAUGAGUUUUUUGGAUCUCCAGGUGGCUCCUGAAGGUUCCUCAAGGAACCUCCUCCACGAGGAGACCUCAAAAUGAUUCUUUCGGUAUCUCCAGGUGGUUUUUUGGGCUCUCCACCUGGUUCCUGAAGGUUCCUCAAGGAACCUCCUCCACACGAAGAUCUCAAAGAGCUUUUUUGGUAUCUCCAGGUGGUUUUUUGGAUUCUUUGUGAUCUCCAGCUGGGUUUUUUUGGAUCUCCAGGUGGUUUUUUGGUUUCUUUGGGAUCUCCAGGUGGUUUUUUGAAGGUUCCUCAAGGAACCUCCUCCACAGGGAUCUCCAGGUUGGUUUUUUUGAACCUCCAGAUGUUUUUUUGGGUUCUCCACCUCCUUCCCCGAAGAUCCCUCCAAAAACCACCUCCACCACCACCUCUCCCCCACCCCUCCCAGAUGUCCCCAGAUGUC